rnacentral:rRNA from 1 species
GACGGAGGAUGCAAGCGUUAUCCGGAAUGAUUGGGCGUAAAGCGUCCGCAGGUGGCAGUUCAAGUCUGCUGUCAAAGACCGGGGCUUAACUUCGGAAAGGCAGUGGAAACUGAACAGCUAGAGUAUGGUAGGGGCAGAGGGAAUUCCCGGUGUAGCGGUGGAAUGCGUAGAGAUCGGGAAGAACAUCAGUGGCGAAGGCGGCCUGCUGGGCUGUUGCUGACGCUGAGGCGCGACAGCGUGGGGAGCAACAGG